UCUGGUUUCAAAUUCCUUCCAUCAAUUUCUUCAAGACCGAAGCAUGAGAUCUGUAAGUGGUCAGCUACUGAGUAGCUUCUCGCAAGCUGUUCUUAGGCUCCCAACCUGAAGAUUCUCACUACAAAAUCAACCUCUAUUUUCUCUGUUUUCUAAUAAUUUUCAUGGAUCUAACCAUGAGAAAGGGUCAAAUUCACAAAAAUACUUCAGUUAUACUAACAUUCAAUACUGCUAGGCCCAAAAUUUAUUCACCUAAUGCAGAAAACAUAAUGAUUUAUGAGUUUAACCAUGUUAAGGGUUAAACACAUAAACUGCCACAAGUUCCAAGUUCAAAAUCAUGCGAGGCUGCUUUGGUGAAGUGCUAAAAUAAACUCAAAGAGAGUAAAAAAAGGAGGCUUAGUCCAUGGACCUAACCAUGCAAGGGUCAGGCUCAAUGAACCAGCCUGGUUUUGAGGAGGGAAAAGCUUGAACAUAUUGACUAAUCAUUGCAAGAAGAGAAAGGAAUGCAUACUAGCAGGAGAGAAUUAACACUAUCAAAGAAGUUAAAGCAUUAUUACAGAAGCAAUGGGUAAAAAAAUUCAGGUAUUUUGAGACAAAGAAUAGCCUUAACACCAUUGCAAUUUCAGCAUACAAAACUUAACAAGACAUACAUGAAUAGUGUCGAACAAGAUGAAACAACUCAUAUUCAUCUGCAAGUCUCAAUUACAUAGGAAUCAAACAGAAGAAAAAGAGCCAUAUGUACCUUGAUGGAACAAUUAAGUAUCAGCAAAAUAAAAGUGAGACUGUUAGAGGAAUUUCAGGAGCAGGAACAACAACGAACAAACAGCUUCAACCAACCUAGAGGAUCAAACUUCUGAACCCAAAACAAACCAAUUAAAACCAGAGGUCCCCAACUAUUAAAAAAAGAAAACUCUCUAUUUUUCAAAGCAUAUUUUUAAACUUGUGAAGAAUCAGAGAAAAAUGAGAGGUUUAAGAUUUUACCUUGACUCUGGAUUUUCAGAAGGAUAAUGGAAUUUUCUGCAGUAAAAUGCUGAUCAAUUUCGU
rnacentral:lncRNA from 1 species